UACGAGGGGGGCGAGCGUUGUUCGGAAUUAUUGGGCGUAAAGGGUGCGUAGGCGGUUUGGUAAGUCUGAUGUGAAAUCUAUGGGCUCAACUCAUAGUCUGCAUCGGAAACUGCCGGGCUUGAGUAUGGGAGAGGUGAGUGGAAUUCCUGGUGUAGCGGUGAAAUGCGUAGAUAUCAGGAGGAACACCUGCGGCGAAAGCGGCUCACUGGACCAUAACUGACGCUGAUGCACGAAAGCUAGGGGAGCAAACAGG
rnacentral:rRNA from 1 species